UCAAAACUCAAGAGGCGUAAACUGCAAUACCUAAAAGGAGCACACGGGGGCGUCCAAAACACAUGAAGAAGGAUUAGAUGGAAGUAAAAGAGGCUCUAGAGUGC
rnacentral:lncRNA from 1 species